rnacentral:rRNA from 1 species
GAUGAACGCUGGCGGCGUGCCUAAUACAUGCAAGUCGAACGAAACUUCUUUAUCACCGAGUGCUUGCACUCACCGAUAAAGAGUUGAGUGGCGAACGGGUGAGUAACACGUGGGCAACCUGCCCAAAAGAGGGGGAUAACACUUGGAAACAGGUGCUAAUACCGCAUAACCAUAGUUACCGCAUGGUAACUCUGUAAAAGGUGGCUAUACUACCGCUUUUGGAUGGGCCCGCGGCGCAUUAGCUAGUUGGUCGGGUAAAGGCUUACCAAGGCAAUGAUGCGUAGCCGAAUUGAGAGGUUGAUCGGCCACAUUGGGACUGAGACACGGCCCAAACUCCUACGGGAGGCAGCAGUAGGGAAUCUUGCACAAUGGGCGAAAGCCUGAUGGAGCAACGCCGCGUGGGUGAAGAAGGUCUUCGGAUCGUAAAACCCUGUUGUUAGAGAAGAAAGUGCGUGAGAGUAACUGUUCACGUUUCGACGGUAUCUAACCAGAAAGCCACGGCUAACUACGUG